UUUGUUUUUACAGAUUUAAUAUCUGUUUAAAAAGUUUUGAUACCGAAAUGAAAAUUUAUUGUGAAUAAAGGAACUCUUAUUUGUAAAAUUUUAACUUUUGAGAAGCGAUGCAACUUUGCCAGUUUAGAUUUAAAAGCGGAUUUCAAAUUGUUUUAAAUGGAUUUUAUAAAAUCAUAAAAAUUAUUGUGAAAGUAAGGUUCAGUUAUGAUUUCAAAUUGAGAGUAUUUUAUCAUGUUGAUGCGUUUACAAACAAAAUAAUUUUUCAACGGGUUAAUUAUUUAGAUAAAAGUGAAAAUUUAAUUUGAGGUGCUAGUGAUUUCAAAUUAAAGGUGGAUAGCGCUAGUAUAUAUUUGUGUUUACGUAAAAUAUUUUUCUGGAGAAGUUUUGUUUUAAGCAUAACCAAUAAUCAAAUUGAGUGCGAUUAGAUCUUAAUGAUCUUCAGUAGGAUUCGAGGUUUUGGUGAUAUAGAAAUAAAUGUCAAGGAUGAAUAAUAUUGUUGUCAGAAGUAUAAGUUAUGUAUUCCUUAAAAAAUUGGUGUGUUUUCUUACGUCUUAGUUCUUGAAGUUGAUAGUAUUGUCGAGGAGAUCUUAGUUGGUUGAACCGAGACGAUACUAAUGGCGUUAGUUUUCAUCCAUUAUUUUGUAACGGCACAUUUGAUCUGAACGAUAUUUUGAAUUGUUGUUAAGCUUUCUCAUUUGAAGUAAUUGAUACUAUGACCAUUAUAAGUUCAUAGUGCGUAGACGCUAAGUGAUGUAAGAUUAUUUUCCGUAGAGAGUGCUUGUAGGUUUUCGGUUUGUAGUAUUGGGGUUUGGCUUAAUAAGUUUUUGAUUUGAAUUUUAGGUUUGAGAAAUCAAUGUUUAAUUCGUUCACACGUGGUGUUUGAGGAGCCGUUUGAAGUACCAAAUUGUUGAUCUUAGAGUUUUCCGCGUUUGCGUAUGGUGGUCUUUCGGGUUUUCAGAUCAGUUGUAAAUUCGAAGUCGUAAAAUUUUCAGCGUGUUUCGGUUAGAUGAUGUGUCGUUUUUCUUAGCUAUCCUCAGUUGAAAUUAUGGUAAGAUUACCCUUGGGUAGGAGUUUGCUUAAACUUUUGAGAUUGCGGUGAUGUUUUGCUUAGACUGAAUUAAACAAUUUUUAUUUUGUUAUCCGUAGAGUUGUCCCUCGGUCGUGAGUAAUCUUAGAUAUCACAAAUUGUGGUACGUAUAUCUCUUUCGUUCCGUCGAGGAUACGUUCUUCGUAUUUUGAGUUAUGUGUGAGUUUUACGUAUUGGUAAUUGAGUUUUUAUUACUGGGCUUUUUGAUAAAUUCGAGGACGAAUUUUUAGUAAGUUGGGGAGAAUGUAAUAUCCCGUAUUUUUCAUUAUUAUUAUUAAAUAUUUUUAUUUAAUUUUAUUUGAGUCGUUCGUUAAUUCGAUUGCGUUUCGAUUCGUGUUUGAUUCGAGUUUGGUUGGUAUUAUUAAAUUAAAUAAGUUAACCGUGUAUUUUUUUUAUUAUUCAAAGAAAAAGAAAAAUAAAUAUGCCUUUAACAUCCAUGCCCACCAUGUUUUAUUUGUGGCCCAUUUAAUUCCUAUUUGGCCAAAUUCUAGCCCAUUUGUUCUUUCAUCCAUGCACAGGUCUACCAAAUUUAGAACAUCAGCAAGUUUUCUUCUCUUUAAUUCUUAAAUAUUUAAUUUCUUUAAAUCCUAUUUAAAUUUCUAUUUGUGGCCCAUUUUAAACAAACAAUCAUUCCUCACACUUUCACAAAACCCUAGCCGUCAUUCUCCAUCAAGUUCUCUGAAAAUUCACCCUCAUAUUCCUCUGAAAUCCCGCGUUAUAUUUGGAUCCGUUUCGUCCUAGUUGAAGUAGACUCACGCCUCUAUGAUUCUCAACUUCGUUUUUGCCAAACGACCCGUCGACUGCUCGUGCUUCGGAGUCUACGCAGGGUUAGCUGUUUGCCAAGAUCACGUGGAUAAGCAAGCAGUUUAUUAUUUUGAGCGAGUCUGCAGAUCUCCGAAUCUUUAUUCCUCGGAGGUUUAUUUGAUUGGUGGUUUUCCGCAAGGCUUGCUACGGGUUUUGGUACAACCAUACCCAUACCCUAGCGCCGGUCGCGAUCCAUGAA